UUCCCUCUAUGUUUUGCCUCUUUCAAUAACCACUCUAUGUUCCUAUUAGCCUAAUGUGUGAUACGGAUUCUAUUUGUGUCAGAGAUAAACUUAUUUUUGGAAUGUGGCGCAGUGCUGGAAGCUCGCUGCCACUUCGCCACGGGUUGGUCCGGUAUAGCACUAUCUCCGGGAUCAGCCCACUCGCC